UACGUAGGUGGCAAGCGUUGUCCGGAUUUAUUGGGUUUAAAGGGUGCGUAGGCGGCCCUGUAAGUCAGUGCUGAAAUAUCCCGGCUUAACCGGGAGGGUGGCAUUGAUACUGCGGGGCUAGAGUACAGAUGAGGUAGGCGGAAUUGACGGUGUAGCGGUGAAAUGCUUAGAUAUCGUCAAGAACACCUAUAGCGAAGGCAGCUUACUAGGCUGUAACUGACGCUGAGGCACGAAAGUGUGGGGAGUCAAACAGG
rnacentral:rRNA from 1 species